rnacentral:rRNA from 1 species
UUGAACGCUGGCGGCAUGCUUUACACAUGCAAGUCGAACGGCAGCGCGGGCUUCGGCCUGGCGGCGAGUGGCGAACGGGUGAGUAAUGCAUCGGAACGUGCCCAGUAGUGGGGGAUAGCCCGGCGAAAGCCGGAUUAAUACCGCAUACGACCUGAGGGUGAAAGCGGGGGACCGAAAGGCCUCGCGCUAUUGGAGCGGCCGAUGUCGGAUUAGCAAGUUGGUGGGGUAAAGGCUUACCAAGGCGACGAUCCGUAGCUGGUCUGAGAGGACGACCAGCCACACUGGGACUGAGACACGGCCCAGACUCCUACGGGAGGCAGCAGUGGGGAAUUUUGGACAAUGGGGGCAACCCUGAUCCAGCCAUGCCGCGUGCGGGAAGAAGGCCUUCGGGUUGUAAACCGCUUUUGUUCGGGAAGAAAUCCUCUGGGCUAAUACCCCGGGGGGAUGACGGUACCGGAAGAAUAAGCACCGGCUAACUACGUG